rnacentral:rRNA from 1 species
GGGAGGUAGUGACAAUAAAUAACAACGCAGGGCUCUUUCGGGUCUUGUUAUUGGAAUGAGUACGAUUUAAAUCUCCUAACGAGGAACAAUUGGAGGGCAAGUCUGGUGCCAGCAGCCGCGGUAAUUCCAGCUCCAAUAGCGUAUAUUAAAGUUGUUGCAGUUAAAAAGCUCGUAGUUGAAUUUCGGGAUUCUACCGUUGGUCGGGCUAACAAGUCUGUACUGGUGUGUAGAAUUUCUACCUUCUGGGGAACUAUCAUGUUAUUAAUUUAGCGUGGUGGGAAACCAGGACCUUUACCUUGAAAAAUUAGAGUGUUCAAAGCAGGCUUACGUCUGAAUACAUUAGCAUGGAAUAAUAGAAUAGGACGGUGGUCCUGUUUUGUUGGUUUCUGAAUCACCGUAAUGAUUAAUAGGGAUAGUUGGG